GCCAACGGGAGGCAAUGGAGAAGACUGCAGAGAAAGAGGAAGAAAUAAUCCAGGAUUUAUGACGUUAGAGAACACCUUGAUGUCCCCCUCACACUUUGAUUCCCUUUCUUCUCCAGGCUGUAGACAAGCUCCCCUCCAAGCUCUAAAGGAAGGCAUUUCAAGAAGCUGAUGCAUCAAGAAGAC